UGUGACAUACCACUUGUUGCCUCGGCGGAUCAGCCCGCUCCCGGNAAACGGGACGGCCCGCCAGAGGACCCCUAAACUCUGUUUCUAUAUGUAACUUCUGAGUAAAACCAUAAAUAAAUCAAAACUUUCAACAACGGAUCUCUUGGUUCUGGCAUCGAUGAAGAACGCAGCAAAAUGCGAUAAGUAAUGUGAAUUGCAGAAUUCAGUGAAUCAUCGAAUCUUUGAACGCACAUUGCGCCCGCCAGUAUUCUGGCGGGCAUGCCUGUUCGAGCGUCAUUUCAACCCUCAAGCACAGCUUGGUGUUGGGACUCGCGUUAAUUCGCGUUCCUCAAAUUGAUUGGCGGUCACGUCGAGCUUCCAUAGCGUAGUAGUAAAACCCUCGUUACUGGUAAUCGUCGCGGCCACGCCGUUAAACCCCAACUUCUGAAUGUUGACCUCGGAUCAGGUAGGAAUACCCGCUGAACUUAAGCAUAUCAAUA
rnacentral:rRNA from 1 species